rnacentral:pre_miRNA from 1 species
AAAAAAAUAAACCCUGGGUUUCCGUGCUAACGUUUAACUGUCCGUCUUAUAUAAAAUUUUUUAUAAUUAGUAUUUUUAUUGUUGUUAGAUGAUAAAACAUGAUUAAUACUUUAUGCGUGACUUAUCUUUUUAAUUAUUUUUAUAAUUUUUUUAAAUAAGAUGGACGGUCAAACAUUGGAUACAGAAACU